UACAGAGGGGGCAAGCGUUGUUCGGAAUUACUGGGCGUAAAGGGCGCGUAGGCGGCCUUCUAAGUCAGACGUGAAAUCCCCCGGCUUAACCUGGGAACUGCGUCUGAUACUGGGAGGCUUGAGUAUGGGAGAGGGAUGUAGAAUUCCAGGUGUAGCGGUGAAAUGCGUAGAUAUCUGGAGGAAUACCGGUGGCGAAGGCGGCAUCCUGGACCAUAACUGACGCUGAGGCGCGAAAGCUAGGGGAGCAAACAGG
rnacentral:rRNA from 1 species